rnacentral:misc_RNA from 1 species
GAUGAAGACGCAGCGAAAUGCGAUAAGUAAUGUGAAUUGCAGAAUUCAGUGAAUCAUCGAAUCUUUGAACGCACAUUGCGCCCGCCAGUAUUCUGGCGGGCAUGCCUGUUCGAGCGUCAUUUCAACCCUCAGGGCCCUUUUGGACCUGGCGUUGGGGCUCGGCCGCUACCCUGCGGCCGUCCCCGAAAGAUAGUGGCGGUCUCGCUGUAGCCUCCUCUGCGUAGUAGUUACAUCUCGCACUGGAACGCGGCGCGGCCAUGCCGUUAAACACCCCACUUCUCAAGGUUGACCUCGGAUCAGGUAGGAAUACCCGCUGAACUUAAGCAUAUCAAUAAGCGGAGGA